GGGGAGAGAAGACAGAGAGAAGGCAGCUGCAGGCCACCUGGCUCUUGAGGACUAAGGACCACUGUGACCUCUGUGUGCUGAAUGGACUGUGGGGGCGGCAUUGGAGGCGAAUGGACCGGUUAAUGAACUGUGGCAGCGAUGUUGCUGAGAGGUGACGGUGUCCCGAGCUGCGGCUGGAGCAGUGGAGAUGACUGCCACUUGAGAACAAAACCGCGUGGGACAGCAGUUUCACAGAAGAAAUAGACAGUUGCAAGAUGCCCAAAGUGAUAAUAUUAUCUCACAUUUGUUCCAGUGUUUCACAGUUUCUCAGACAUUUUCU
rnacentral:lncRNA from 1 species